AUUGAACGCUGGCGGCAGGCCUAACACAUGCAAGUCGAACGGUAACAGGAAGCAGCUUGCUGCUUUGCUGACGAGUGGCGGACGGGUGAGUAAUGUCUGGGAAACUGCCUGAUGGAGGGGGAUAACUACUGGAAACGGUAGCUAAUACCGCAUAACGUCGCAAGACCAAAGAGGGGGACCUUCGGGCCUCUUGCCAUCGGAUGUGCCCAGUUGGGAUUAGCUAGUAGGUGGGGUAACGGCUCACCUAGGCGACGAUCCCUAGCUGGUCUGAGAGGAUGACCAGCCACACUGGAACUGAGACACGGUCCAGACUCCUACGGGAGGCAGCAGUGGGGAAUAUUGCACAAUGGGCGCAAGCCUGAUGCAGCCAUGCCGCGUGUAUGAAGAAGGCCUUCGGGUUGUAAAGUACUUUCAGCGGGGAGGAAGGGAGUAAAGUUAAUACCUUUGCUCAUUGACGUUACCCGCAGAAGAAGCACCGGCUAACUCCGUG
rnacentral:rRNA from 1 species